UACGAAGGACCCGAGCGUUAUCCGGAUUUAUUGGGUUUAAAGGGUGCGUAGGCGGAUUAGUAAGUCAGUGGUGAAAGCCCAUCGCUUAACGGUGGAACUGCCAUUGAUACUGCUAGUCUUGAGUAUGGUUGAGGUGGGCGGAAUGUGUCAUGUAGCGGUGAAAUGCUUAGAUAUGACAUAGAACACCAAUUGCGAAGGCAGCUCACUACGGAUAUAUUGACACUGAGGCACGAAAGCGUGGGGAUCAAACAGG
rnacentral:rRNA from 1 species